GAUCGUCUAGUCGGUUAGGACAGCACGUUGUGGUUAAUUGUGAUCAAUUACUACUCGUGACACGGAAUCCGUGCAAACCCCCGUUCGAAUCGGGGUCA